rnacentral:rRNA from 1 species
AAGUCGAACGCCCCGCAAGGGGAGUGGCGGACGGGUGAGUAACGCGUGGGAACAUACCCUCCGGUUCGGAAUAACUCAGGGAAACUUGAGCUAAUACCGGAUACGGCUUAGCGGCGAAAGAUUUAUCGCCGGAGGAUUGGCCCGCGUUCGAUUAGCUAGUUGGUGAGGUAACGGCUCACCAAGGCGACGAUCGAUAGCUGGUCUGAGAGGAUGAUCAGCCACAUUGGGACUGAGACACGGCCCAAACUCCUACGGGAGGCAGCAGUGGGGAAUAUUGGACAAUGGGCGCAAGCCUGAUCCAGCCAUGCCGCGUGAGUGAUGACGGCCUUAGGGUUGUAAAGCUCUUUCGCUCGGGACGAUAAUGACGGUACCGAGAUAAGAAGCCCCGGCUAACUUCGUGCCAGCAGCCGCGGUAAUACGAAGGGGGCUAGCGUUGUUCGGAAUUACUGGGCGUAAAGCGCGUGUAGGCGGGUCUUUAAGUCAGGGGUGAAAUGCCAAGGCUCAACCUUGGAACUGCCUUUGAUACUGGAGAUCUUGAGUCCGGGAGAGGUGAGUGGAACUGCGAGUGUAGAGGUGAAAUUCGUAGAUAUUCGCAAGAACACCAGUGGCGAAGGCGGCUCACUGGCCCGGAACUGACGCUGAGACGCGAAAGCGUGGGGAGCAAACAGGAUUAGAUACCCUGGUAGUC